rnacentral:lncRNA from 1 species
CUGUCCCAGGUUAGGGGAAGGGUUGGGAUCCCGCUAACAUGUUUAACCCCGCCACAUUAUUUAUGUAUGUGCCUGUCCCAAGUCAGGAACCUGUAUAUUCAGUGGUUGUCGUUUGUUUAUGUGUUACAUAUUUGUUUUUCGUUCAUUUUUUUCCCCCAUAAAUAAGGCCGUUAGUUUUCUCGUUUGAAUUGUUUUACAUUGUCUUAUCGGGGCCUUUUAUAGCUGACUAUGCGGUAUGGGCUUUGCUCAUUGUUGAAGGCCGUACGGUGACCUAUAGUUGUUAAUGUCUGUGUCAUUUUGGUCUUUUGUGGAUAGUUGUCUCAUUGGCAAUCAUACCACAUCUUCUUUUUUA